UACGGGGGGGGCAAGCGUUGUUCGGAAUUACUGGGCGUAAAGAGUGCGUAGGCGGUUUUCUAAGUUUGGUGUGAAAUCUCCCGGCUUAACUGGGAGGGUGCGCCGAAGACUGGAAGGCUUGAGUAUGGGAGAGGUAAGCGGAAUUCCUGGUGUAGCGGUGAAAUGCGUAGAUAUCAGGAGGAACACCUGCGGUGUAGACGGCUUACUGGACCAUAACUGACGCUGAGGCACGAAAGCGUGGGUAGCAAACAGG
rnacentral:rRNA from 1 species